UUACGAGUGGUGAGUGGUUAUUGGGACUAUUUGGCAGAGUUUAUUGUUUUCUGGAGCAUUUUGGCCGCAAUUUUUGUACUUAGUGUAUUACAACGAUAUUAAUAUGAGUGAUUCGGAGAGUGGAAACGAAGGUUCAAGCACUGGGAAAAGAAAGAAAUAUGAUCAAAACUACAAGGAGGAGUGGCAGAAUAUUGCUCAGUUUAAAGGAUGAUUAAUGAAAAGUGAGAAAGACAGAACUUAUGCCAAAUGUAAGGUAUGCAAUAAAGACAUAAAUAUUGCUAGCGGUAAAGAUGCUUUAAUAAAGCACAGUAAAGGAAAAGCGCAUUUAACUAAAUGUAAAAGCAUUUUUCACGACAACCAGAUAUAACAUAUUUCACAUCAGAGGCAUCAACAGCAAUUGUAGCAAAGCAACGGGUCAAAGAAGGUGAAAUCCGUUUAAGUGCCUUUAUCGCUGAACACCAUCUCCCAUUCUCCGUAAUGGAUAAUUUAGUGAAGGUAGUGGAAAAAGUAUGCAUGGAUUCCGAAAUUGCUAAAACAAUGGCUUGUGGUAGAACCAAGACUACUGCAGUAGUGAAGAAUGUUCUAAGGCCCUGGACACUGAAUGGCGAUUGCUACGGAACACCGAGGAGAUUCAUCGGCUAAUGUCGAAAGAAUAUUCUCAGACAUUACUUUCACCACAACUAAGCAACGAAAUAGAUUAGGUACUGAUACUAUUUCUGGACUGCUUCAUACUAGAAGGUACUUUCGAGACCACAGUUGCUACGACUUUGAAAUAGAAAAGAAGCAUCUAAUGACAAUGAAUGACAGAUCGGCAUUUUAUAAAGGUGAAUUUCAAAACAAUUCCGAUUCUGAUGAAAACUGACAUACAACUUUAUUGUUUAAAAAAUUUGUUAUUUUUUAUGGGAGUUUAUUUUGUUAACCUAUGUUACUUUUGUUAUAUUUUGACUUUGACUGAUGUUUGGGAUUGUAAUAUUAAUAUACCGUUUUGUAUGCUGUGUUGUUCUGUUGGUAAUAUGUAAUGUAACGUGUACGACAUAAAAAAUCUGUUUUUUACUAAUUUUUUGGUUAAUUUAUUUUGUUUAUAUUUUUAGUUCUAACUGUUAAUGUUAAUUAAAAUAUAUGUGCUCAUUUAGAUGAAGUUUAAUAAAAACACAUACUUA